rnacentral:rRNA from 1 species
CCUACGGGAGGCAGCAGUGGGGAAUAUUGGACAAUGGGCGCAAGCCUGAUCCAGCUAUGCCGCGUGUGUGAAGAAGGCCUGCGGGUUGUAAAGCACUUUAAGCAGGGAGGACGGGUUGCGGGGUUAAUACCCUUGUGACUUGACGUUACCUGCAGAAUAAGCACCGGCUAACUUCGUGCCAGCAGCCGCGGUAAUACGAAGGGUGCAAGCGUUAAUCGGAAUUACUGGGCGUAAAGGGUGCGCAGGCGGUUUUGUAAGACAGAUGUGAAAUCCCCGGGCUUAACCUGGGAACUGCGUUUGUGACUGCAAGGCUAGAGUACGGCAGAGGGGGGUGGAAUUCCGCGUGUAGCAGUGAAAUGCGUAGAUAUGCGGAGGAACACCGAUGGCGAAGGCAACCCCCUGGGCCUGUACUGACGCUCAUGCACGAAAGCGUGGGGAGCAAACAGGAUUAGAUACCCUGGUAGUCCACGCCCUAAACGAUGUCAACUAGUCGUUCGGAGCAGCAAUGCACUGAGUGACGCAGCUAACGCGUGAAGUUGACCGCCUGGGGAGUACGGCCGCAAGGUUAAACCUCAAAUGAAUUGACGG